UUUGCGCGCUAAAUGGAAAAACCGGAGGACCCGGAGAAAAACCACGAGGUUGGACAAAUGACCCUACUCCUUGUCACGUACAUGUGUGGGAUGGAAACAACGCCACUUGACUCAACGACAGACCUUAUGAUCUAAAGUGCACGGAUGAAGAAGACUAAUAAUGUAAAAUGAAAACCAAAAACCAAGCCAAGAUUGACUUCCUGAUGUUAAUACAGACCGAACUCAUUUUUAAGAAACGUAAUACCAUACAUAACGAAAAACAGGCACUUACUGGAAUAGGUUCCACAAAUAUUUACAAUUUUACCGCUCAAAACAAUAAAUACCUGUCGACGUUUAAGAGCAGAUGUUAUGUUAUAAGAGAGUGUAUAUAUCAAUGAACAGCACAAGUGUUGCCAGGCGGCAAAAGAUUUAUUUCAAGACCACUAAUCAUUGAUAAAAUAAAAUAAAAUAAAAUCAA